GCAGUAGCCGCGGGAAUACGUAGGUCCCGAGCGUUGUCCGGAUUUAUUGGGCGUAAAGCGAGCGCAGGCGGUUAGAUAAGUCUGAAGUUAAAGGCUGUGGCUUAACCAUAGUACGCUUUGGAAACUGUUUAACUUGAGUGCAAGAGGGGAGAGUGGAAUUCCAUGUGUAGCGGUGAAAUGCGUAGAUAUAUGGAAGAACACCGGUGGCGAAAGCGGCUCUCUGGCUUGUAACUGACGCUGAGGCUCGAAAGCGUGGGGAGCAAACAGGAUUAGAUACCCCAGUAGUCCCUGUCUCUUAUAAC
rnacentral:rRNA from 1 species